GACGAACGCUGGCGGCGUGCUUAACACAUGCAAGUCGAACGGAAAGGCCCUGCUUUUGUUUGGUUCUCGAUUGGCGAACGGGUGAGUAACACGUGAGUAACCUGCCCUUGACUUUGUGAUAACUUCAGGAAACUGGGGCUAAUACCGGAUAGGAUCUCCUGCUGCAUGUUGGGGGUUGGAAAGUUUCGGCGGUUGGGGAUGGACUCGCGGCUUAUCAGCUUGUUGGUGGGGUAGUGGCUUACCAAGGCUUUGACGGGUAGCCGGCCUGAGAGGGUGACCGGCCACAUUGGGACUGAGAUACGGCCCAGACUCCUACGGGAGGCAGCAGUGGGGAAUAUUGCACAAUGGGCGGAAGCCUGAUGCAGAAACGCCGCGUGCGGGAUGACGGCCUUCGGGUUGUAAACAGCUUUCGACUGUGACGAAGAGUGAGUGACGGUAAUGGGUAAAGAAGCACCGGCUAACUACGUG
rnacentral:rRNA from 1 species